rnacentral:tRNA from 1 species
AGGUGGCUCAAUGGAUAGAGUACCAGUCCUGGAGACUGGAGAUCUGGGUUCAAAUCUAGCCU